CACAAGAUAAAAUCGGGAUAGUUCUCUGGUCAGGCCAUCCACUUUGGCUCCAGAGGUCUGCAUUGAUUUCUCCCGUGGGAAAACGCCUUUCCAGAUUUAGAAUGCAGGAAGUGAGGAGAUGCAAGAAGGCUCUCACGUUCAAAGGGUUCAAAGAGCUGCUCACGUAAGGGAUCAAUAGAUCCAGCUCUGAAUUUAGUGUCAUACUAAAUGCUGGACCAGGCAAUUAUUUUGAUUCAUCACGGUGGGCUGGUUCCUUCAGCUGGGACAAACUGAGCUGGGAUCCUGGAGCAGGGUGCCUUCAGUGCCACCACCCGUGCCAGGGGUCUGCAGCCACACGGGGC